rnacentral:rRNA from 1 species
UACGUAGGGGGCAAGCGUUGUCCGGAAUCAUUGGGCGUAAAGCGCGUGUAGGCGGCCAGAAAAGUCCGCUGUGAAAACUCGAGGCUCAACUUCGAGCUGUCGGUGGAAACUUUCUGGCUAGAGUCCGGAAGAGGAGAAUGGAAUUCCUGGUGUAGCGGUGAAAUGCGCAGAUAUCGGGAGGAACACCUAUGGCGAAGGCAGCUCGCUGGGACGUUACUGACGCUGAGACGCGAAAGCGUGGGGAGCAAACAGG